rnacentral:lncRNA from 10 species
CAAAAUUAUACAACUGUAUAUUUACAAUGUUAGAUUUUAUGGUGUACAAAUUACAUCUUAGUAAAGCUGUUUUCAUUUACUUACUGUUUUAGCACAAAUAUAUAAAGAACUUGGGAAUUGUCAUUCCCAUCUUUACAACAAGAAAAAUGCAGAACAAAUUAAGGGUCAAUGACUUGUUUUAUAGUAUCCAUAAAGAUCUGAACUUUUUAAGAUCCACAGAGAUUGUGGGUGAAGACCAUCUCUGAAAUCUGGAGAAACAGGCAAAUACAGAAAAUUGCAGCUGAAACAAAAUCUCUUGAAGUCAUAAACUGCCAUGUGAAGACAGACACCUGCUCACGCUUUUCCUUCCACCAUGAUUUGCCUAGUAUUGAGGUAGAGGCCAAAUUUAAUCUACCAUUGAUUUUAAUGAAGCCAUAUAUGUGCCUUGGAGCAGUGUCUAUUCAUCUAGGGUGAAGAAUCAAAAUCCAUCUUGUAAAUUUUCUCUAAGGAAAGGCAAGCGUGGAGCUACAGUGUCUUCAAUCUGUUUGGGAAAUGCUAGGCGUAUAUGAUACUAUUGCUCGCACAGCAUAGUGCACAAGUGAAUUUUAGUGUUUGCUAGACAACGUGUGCUUAGCGGAUGGAUCACAUGGAAAUGAGGACAAGUGGCAUCUAGGAGCCGAGGGCUGCAGCUGUCAACAAGAAAAUGAAGUCCUUUAUCCUGCAACUAUAAAGAAAUGAACUCUCCCAACAAUCUGAAGGAGUUUCCAAUGAGAUUCUUCCCCCAACCCUCCAGAUGAGAACUCAGUCUAGCUGAUACCUCAAGAUGGCAACAUAGUCUGCUUUGUAGUAACAUGAGGAGAGAACCUAGUCACAUCAGCCUGGGUUUCUAGUAGCAGUUUAUUAUAUAUUUGAUUAUUUUAAAUUAUUCUAGAUUCUUUGGGAAUUGUCUCCAUAUAUGUAGUGUGUGUGUGGGUGUGUGUACCCUAUUUUUGGAAACCUUAAUAUAUUCAUAAAUCUUUUUCUGUAACUUGAUUUAAUUAUGUUCAUAAUAUAUGCUGUGUAUUAUGCCUUCUCAGCUCACGUAAACUCUAUGUAGAGAAACAGUGUUGUGUAAUGGUUAACAGUGUAGCAAACGUAGCCAGACAGCCUGAUUCAAGUCUCAGCUCUGACACCUCCAUGCUGUGCAACUUUGGGCAGUUCAUUUUUCUAGCAUUGAUUUUCCCUUCUGAAGCAUAGAGGCAAUAAGAUUGUUGUGAGAAUUCAAUGAGUCAAGACCUUUGCAAACACCAAGAAUAAUUCCUGCCAUACAGCAGGCUCUCAGAAAUGUUAGCAAAUAGCCUUAUUUCUUUUAAAUUUCAAACUGUACAAACAACAUGCAAAUACAUUCUCCUGUUAUAAGAAAGGAAAAUUGACACAUAAACAUAUAAAAUAUGAAAUCACUGUCUUUAUUCUACUCAUAAUCAUAUUCUCUUACCUGCCUCAGUAGCAUAAUUUAUGAAUUUUUAUAGCUUUAAAGUUUGCUAUGUUGCACCAUAUAAAAGUAUUUCCUAUGUAUUUGACAUUUUUGCAUAUUUUUAUAUAUUUCUAUGAUGACAUUCUUCAAUGUGUGUAAUCAGCUCGCCAAAUUCUAUCAGAUAUGCCAUGUGAAGGUUUUAAAAUUUCAUUUAAUUAUCAGAUUAAUUUGAGGAGUAUAGUCAUUUUAAUAGUAAUGGUUUUACAUUGAUUUUAAUUUUUACACAAUAGACAUAUUGAGAGAUACUUAAAGGAUAAAAAAAGUAAGCAAAAGUAAUUGUUGAUGAGCUAAUAAUUGACAUUUUCAAAUGCCUUCAAACUAGAACUAGCAAAUAAUUCAUAAUGAUAUUGUAGUCAUUUCUUUUAGUUACUAAGAAAUCCAUGUGAUAUAUAUGUUUUAAAAUCAACAUCUUCAUCUUGAAUUACAAUUAUAAGGCAAUUGGGAAACUAGUGUUAGAAACCUAUGGUAUGUUUAUCUCUAAUUAGAAAAAGAAAAACACCAUUACAACAAUUGUUUUCAUUAAUUAAAUUUUAGAAUGACUAAACUUCAAUAUGUUGAUUUUAGAACAACAAAUAAAAAUAAUGGAAAACAUAAAAUAUUAUACAGGAUUUCCACUAGAAUUUUAAUUAUUGUGAUUAUAUAAUGUGCCUGUUAUUUGGCUAGAGUUUAAGCAAAAACAAAAUCUUCAAUUUGAAAUCCUUUAAAUUUAGCAUUCCCUUGGUUAGAAAAUUUUCCAAUUGAUUAAGAUAAGUUUUAGUCUCCUAUUUAAGAAAAUUGCUCUUUUAAUAUGUCUUUAUCUUCCCAUUUGUAUUCAUCACAACAAAGCAAGGAAGAUUGUUCAGUGUGAAAUAAACACUAUUAGCACUCAUACAGUUUAACAAAGAAUAAGCUGUAAGUUACACAUACACCUAUGUCUGAUACUAGUACUAACAAGUGGUGCUGUGAACUUUGGCAAGCUGACAGGCUUCUUGUGAACAAUUUCAGGCAAUUGAAAGGAUAAUGGUACAGCUGAUAGCUUGACUUUCAGUAAUACAAACAAUGACUGGACCAUGAAGAGCACCACAUAGAAGUUAAUACAUGCAAAAUCCCCAGCAUAUAGUAAGCACUCAGUAAGAAUUAGCUGGCCAGGUUUGGUGAGUCACGCCUGUAAUCCCAGGAUGUUGGGAGGCCGAGGCGGGUGGAUAACCUGAGGUCAGAAGUUCAAGAUGAGGCAGGCCAAGAUGGUGAAAGCCCAUCUCUACUAAAAACUACAAAAAUUAACCGGGUGAGGUGGCAGGUGCCUGUAAUCCCAGCUACUCGGGAGGCUGAGGCAGGAGAAUCGCUUGAACCCAGGGGGCGGAGGUUGCAGUGGGCCAAGAUCACACCACUGCACUCCAGGCUGGGCGACAAGAGCGAAACUCCAUCUCAAAAAAAAAAAAAAAAAAAAAAAAAGAGCCGGCAUUAGUUGCAAACAUUAGCAAUCCCUGAAAAGCAUGGGCCCAACCUGGAGGUAACUAGAAGAUUGAAUGCGAUUUUAUUCUUGAUAAAAAGAAGCAAACAGUUUAAAGUAUAGUUAUAAAAUAAUAAACCACCAGUCAACAUCAACAGAACAACCCAAAUUAUUUUCAUUUCUUUUUGAAUGCUUGAUCUUUAUAUUUUGAUAAAAAAUUAACAUUUUACAAAUUUAGUUGAUUGAUAAUAAAUGCUAACACCAGUGAAAAAUAUGCUUAUGUAUUAUAACACAUCAAUUUGAAACCUCAACUGACUCUACUACUGUAUGUUAAAUUAUAGUCCAAACAAUUUUUGGGAAAGCCUGUCCCUGCUAAUUGUACCUGUCAAGCAACCAUUAAGUAAAUAAUGUGAUCUUCUAACUAAGGAGCUGUCUCAAACUUUUCUAUCAGUCUAAGGGGCAGGUACAUUGUGUAUACCUUUUAUUUACCAUUUGCUAAAUAACAACAAAAAAGAAAUAAAUAAAUAAAGUCCAAGCCCAGAUAAUAAAGCACAUGGGUCUGUACGUAACUAUCAAUACAGACUAUUAGCUCUUUAUUUACUUUUUAAGGCAAGGUCAAGAGGAGAAAAUAGAAAAUGUUAAUAUAUUUUCACUGGGCACAGUGGCUCAUUCCUGUAAUCCCAAUGCGUUGGGAGGCCGGUGCGAGCAGACCGCUUGAGCCCAGUAGUUCGAGAUUAGCCUGGGCCACAUGGUGAAAACGUAUCUCUACAAAAAAUACAAAUAUAUAUAUACACAUAGACAAAUUAGCCAGGCAUGUUGGUGCAUGCCUGUAGUCCCAGCUACACUGGAGGCUGAGGUGGGAGGAUUACUUGACCUGGAGAGGAGAAGGUUACACUAAGCUCUGAUUGCACCACUCCAGCCUGGCCAACAGAGUGAGACUUCGUCUCAAAAUAAAUAAAUAAAUUUUAUUUUGUUUUCAAUGUGACACUUUAUCUUCCAGUUCCUCUCAAAGUUCAGCUGUACCUUGUCCUUUGAAAUCAGUGAUUUUCAAAUUCCAUCAUUACUUUAGCAUAGCAUAUAAAUUUUCAAUCAGAGAUUAAUAGAAAAAUCUUAAUUAUUAAAAAACAAUUCCUAUCAACAUAAAAUACUGAAUGUGAAAGCACUAAGAAAAAUUUCUCUACAUUAUUCAUUUCUGUUUUAUUUCAAUUUAACUUUUAAUGAUGGAUUUUCAAAGGGGAAUUAAACAUCCAUAUUGAUAUUCUUAAAAUUUUUCCAUAGACAUGAUUUUGUUUCAGACACAUAAAAUUUGAUAAAUGAAAUAAGAUAACAUCGUAAAUAUGCUAAGAAAAAAGAAGUCACCUUGGGAAUACAGUGAUUUGCAUUCUACCAUAAAUAUACUCCCAAAUACUCAAAGAGUUUAACUUUCAAAUACAUUGCAAAACACAGAAAUCUGUAUACUCAUUCUAAUAUUUAAUACCAAUCUUAAGAAAUGAGAUAAGGCAAAAACCCAUCUCUGCAAAAAAUACAAAAAAAAUAAUCUGGGUGUGGUAAUGAACACUUAUAAUUUCAGCUACAGGGAGACUGAGCUGGGAGGAUUGCUUGAGCCAAGGAAGUCAAGUCUGCAGUCAACAGUGAUUGUGCCAGUGCACGCCAGCCUGGGUGACAGAACAAGAUCCUGUCUCUCUCCAUAUAUAUAUAUAUGUAUGUAUGUAUAUAUGUAUAUAUAUGUAUGUAUGUAUAUAUAUGUAUAUGUAAAGGAAUUUUAUACAUAUAAAUGCACAUAUAUGCAUAAAGGAAUUUUAUACUUAUCUUUUCAAUUGAAAUAUAACAUCUAUAUAUUAAAAUGAAUAAAUAGUAAGCAUCAAAUACUACUUGUACUUUUAAAAAGAAUAUUGUGGAAGUAUCAACUAUAUCAAGAUGUAAAAUAUUACGCCUCCAGAAUCUUCCCUUAUGCCUCUACUCAGUCACUGGGCCUCUCAGAAAUGUAAUCAGUAUUCUGGCAUCUAACACCAUAAUAGACUCUGCUUGUUUUUGAAUGUCAUCAGUGCGCAAUAUUCUAUUUGUAAAUUUUUUAACGAAUCAAGAUCUAUGAGGUUUAUCUGUGUUGUACGUAGUCGCAGGUUGUUAUUUCUUAUUGCUGUAUAGUAUUCAAUUGUGAGAAUAAUUAGAAUUUAUGUAUCCAUCCCACUUUGUCAUUUUAGUGUUGUGGUAAUUUUGAUCAUUUAUACUUUAGGUGCCAUGAAUAUUGCUUCUUUAAAUAUUCUUAUCUUUGGUGACAUAUAUCAAGAUUUUUCUGGGUAUAUAUCUAGGAAUUCAAUUGAUGAGUCAUAAGUAUACAUAUGUUGGUGGAUACUACUAAAGAAUUUCAAAGUGGUUGUAAAAAUGUAUGCUUUCACCAGAAGUAUAUGAGAGUUUCUGUUACUGUAUAUUCCUACUAACACUUGGUAUUUCAUUUUUAUUUAAUUUUAGCCAUUCAAAUAUUGUUACAAUAAUAUUUCAUUGUGACUUUGUGUUGAGUAAAUACGUUGAGCAUAUUUUCUGAAGGUUAAUUUUAGAUAACAUCUAAAAAAUGACUGUGCAAUUCAUUUAUUCCUUUUGAUCUUUGAUAGUCUAUAUUUUCAUUAUUGAUUUAUAGUUAUUCUUUAUGUUUAUAUGUCUUCUUUUGGUUAUUUGUACUGCAAAUAUCUUGUCCUAGUCUUUGGAUUUCCACUUAUUCUUUGGAAAUUGUCUUUUGAUGAACAGAUUUUUUAAAAUUUUAAUAAAGUCUAA